AACGAACGCUGGCGGCAGGCCUAACACAUGCAAGUCGAGCGAGGACUUCGGUCCUAGCGGCGGACGGGUGAGUAACGCGUGGGAACGUGCCCUUUGCUUCGGAAUAGCCCCGGGAAACUGGGAGUAAUACCGGAUGAGCCCUUUGGGGGAAAGAUUUAUCGGCGAAGGAUCGGCCCGCGUUGGAUUAGGUAGUUGGUGGGGUAAUGGCCUACCAAGCCGACGAUCCAUAGCUGGUUUGAGAGGAUGAUCAGCCACACUGGGACUGAGACACGGCCCAGACUCCUACGGGAGGCAGCAGUGGGGAAUCUUAGACAAUGGGGGAAACCCUGAUCUAGCCAUGCCGCGUGAGCGAUGAAGGCCUUAGGGUUGUAAAGCUCUUUCAGCUGGGAAGAUAAUGACGGUACCAGCAGAAGAAGCCCCGGCUAACUCCGUG
rnacentral:rRNA from 1 species